AUACGUAGGUGGCAAGCGUUGUCCGGAUUUAUUGGGCGUAAAGCGAGCGCAGGCGGUUUUUUUAAGUCUGAUGUGAAAGCCUUCGGCUCAACCGAAGAAGUGCAUCGGAAACUGGGAAACUUGAGUGCAGAAGAGGACAGUGGAACUCCAUGUGUAGCGGUGAAAUGCGUAGAUAUAUGGAAGAACACCAGUGGCGAAGGCCGGCUGCCUGGUCUGUAACUGACGCUGAGGGCUCGAAAGUAUGGGUAGC
rnacentral:rRNA from 1 species